rnacentral:rRNA from 1 species
GGUCAAAUCAUCAUGCCCCUUACGUCCUAGGCUACACACGUGCUACAAUGGCCGGUACAAAGGGAAGCGACGCAGCGAUGCCGAGCGGAUCCCAAAAAGCCGGUCUCAGUUCGGAUUGCAGGCUGCAACUCGCCUGCAUGAAGGCGGAAUCGCUAGUAAUCGCAGGUCAGCAUACUGCGGUGAAUACGUUCCCGGGCCUU